UAUGCCUGAUUUUGGAUCGGGCAUAUUCAACACACCACCAUGUCACACACCGCACACUGCAGGGAAAAUCGGGGCAAAAAACAAACAAACAACAACAAAAAAAGGCUUAUCUGACUUAUUAUUUUUUAUUAUUUCACUUUUGUCCUUUAUGGAUUUCUUUAUGGAUAAAGAAAUCUAUAAAGCUUCCACCUCAUGGCAUCAAUAUUCUUUCCCAAUAAAAUCAUUUGAAAAGAUCUUGUCCCAGAAUGACAUAUGGUUGAAUGUACUUGAUCUCAACAAUUUGAGCAGUGUUCACCAACAGGUUCAGCAGAGCACUGUUCACAUUCUAGCGAUCAUUAGCAAGACUGCAGCUAAAGGACUUUCACUUCCUCCAGGGUUGCUGUGGCAACCGUCUAAUCACUCUCUGAGCCAGUGUCCCUGCUGACCCAAAUGCAGGUCCUGGGAUGAUAUCUGGGCAAAAACUGCCAGGAAUUACACGAGUGAAGUCUUGGUUGAGAUAACAUCCUGGAAGGUGAGUUGACACCAGUCUUUUCACACUUUAGAAAAAGAUGUGCGAAGUUUACAUUUAACAUGAUUGUACAUUGAGCUGAACAGUGAGCUGCUUGGUCUACAGUGACUCCACACUUUGAGGUUCAUCUCAGCAACACAAUCAUGCAGACUCCUCCGACUGACUCUUGUAGAUGUCCUGGUUAAGUUUUUUUAACAACUUUGAGCUACUGGUGGGUCCUCAGGAGAAAAGUCUAUUAAAAACAUUGCUCCACAGCUGGGCUUUUCUAUUUCAUGUACUGUAUUUUGCAUGAAAAUUGAACAAUUCUGUUGCAAAAUGAGAGGCUUAAAUUCCGGGGAGUAUGAUUAGUGACAGAGUGCAGCUAGGAGAGAAGGUGAAUGUGGAGAUGGAGGGAAGAUGGAAAACUAAAAACAGCGAGCAGGAAAUAAGGAUCCAGAACUCAUUUGUAGCAGUGAUUCGGUGGUGUCAGGUUUGGGUUCUGUGUGGUUUUCCUCUCUCUCUCCACUUCUCACAGAUUCCCACUAUCCUGCAGCUUUCUUCAGGUUCCUCGCUCCAAUGUUCCUCCGGAUUCCCCCCACACACUCACACCCCAGACUACACUCGCCUCUCCCUGUUGGACUUUUCGUCAUCAUCACUCUGCAAACGUGUUAAAAAGGAAUGAAGAAGAGGCUGACUGACUGGUUGACUGACUUAUUUACUGACUCUCUGAAGGCAGUGAGAAUCGGCUGAGUGGGAGGGUAACAGUCCUACUUUGCACAUGCCCACAUUCAUGAUGGCUGCUGUCAGUUUUGAGCCGCGCUGUGUGCCUGAAAUACCAGCACCCAGCAACUUCCCUCCGCUUGGCUCUUGGGGAGGUGUG